UUUACGGAGAGUUUGAUCCUGGCUCAGGACGAACGCUGGCGGCGUGCCUAACACAUGCAAGUCGAACGGAGAUGUUUUGAAAGCUUGCUGAUAAACAUCUUAGUGGCG
rnacentral:rRNA from 1 species